AAUUGUUCUUUCACUGACGUAUUUGAGUUUAGGAUUACAGUUCCUCAACAAGAGAGAUAGAGAGAGAGAGAGAGAGAGAGAGAGAGAGAGAGAGAGAGAGAGAGAGAGAGAGAGAUUGAGUGAAUGUGGCAUAACCUUUUCAUAUCAGAAAUCUGGCAGCAAGUGAAUCAGAGGGACCUAUCUUUAUAUAAAUCCUGGUAGUCAUUUAUGGUGCAGAUCAGGUGCUGCCAGGGCUGCAGAGAGCCCCAUAUCUCGGAGUCAGUGUUGACGGCCUGUUCCAGGGUCUCCACAGUGAACUUGGGGAUCCCGUUAUCCCGCUCCAGCAGCGCGCUGCGCAGCACCCGCGCGUACACCUCGCGGAAGAGGCUCUCCAUGCACGCAGCCAGGUAGAUCGCAGCGUGCUCGUGGAUCCUGACCGCAACCCUGCUGUCGACCAUCCACUUGAAGAACUUCCCCACGUUGAAGAUGAGUCCGCAGCGCACCGACUUGCCGCGGCUGAACUUGUCCUCCUCCGUGCUCAUGUUGUACAGGGACAAGGCACUGAGGGCCGCGCUGAUGCAGCUCAUCGAGACGCUCCACGACAGAACCAUCUUUAUGGCACUUUGGAUCUCGUAUUUGGUGCAUUUGGCGUAGCGCAAACUCAGGCGCUGCGACUCCUUUGCGACUCUGACCAGGGCCCGGCUGACCAGCACCGAGAGCCUGAGCAGGACGUCCUGUGGGGGGGUAGGCAGGGUCAUCUCCUCGUCCCUGUUCAGCGCGCUCGCCACUUCCCCGAGGCUCCAUGGCACAUCCUCAAGCUCGGGUAGUUUAGCGCACUGCCCGGUGCUCUCCAGGAUCUCGGCGUCUUCGGCCAGGACCGUGUUAACAGUGUCCAGACUGUUGUGUCGACUGUGCAUCGAGUCGGUUAAAUGCCAGUGAUUCCCGCCAUGUGCCUCUGAGCAGCACAGCGACGCACUGGAAGAUCUGAAGGAGUCGGCGGCUCCACCAUAACCCGAGUCGAGCGUCAAAUCCUCCAGGGUCCUCGCCACUGACUUGCUACUCCUUGCCAUAACUGCACUUCAUACUGUAAAAGAGGGCUUGGGAAAGUAGAAAGAAAUAUUCAAGACGGUGGAGUUUGGGUACGCACGCGUCUUGCACAAGCUCUGCUCACAAAUAUGAUUCUGUUUAUUUGGAAAGUCCGUCCAAGGGUGUAGCAUAAAGUUAAAGAGUAGUAGCUCACUCCAGUGCAUCGGCAGGCACACAGUGCUGUACCAGCGCAGUGCCUGACAGAAGGAGGCGGGGCCGGGGAGACCCGAGAACAGCUGUCAGCCAAUGGACUCUCGGGAUGAAGCAGCAAAGAGUUUUAAUUGGAUCGCUUUAGAGGAUCGAUACAAAGUCCAUGAUGUAGCCCAUGAAAAGGCUUAUUAAUAAUAAAAAAGGUGAUGUAAACAGUGA